rnacentral:misc_RNA from 1 species
GUAGUAUUCAUUUUUAGAGUAGUAACAGGAAUAACCAACUAAUCAAGUCUACAUUAUAGGUAAGUAUCACUAACCAAGGGGGCACCCUGAAGCCAUCUUUGGGACCAAACAGCCCUCCAACUGUAGGCUCCUUCUCCCCCACAGAUCAUUAUAUGAGAAAAGGACACAAAUUUGCAGUAUUAGAAGAAGAAAUGUUCUAAACAUACAUGACACAUUCGAACCUAGUUGUAAAGAUCAUCAUCAUCAGCCCCACCGCCAGCAGAAGUUGCAAACGGGUCGGCAGCCGCAGUUCCAGAAGCAGUGUUGUCUGAGAACCUGAAUUCAGAACCAAACCCUCUCGACUGCUGCAGUGUUUGAGCAAAUGCCUGGUAUUUACGA